GUCAAUAAAAUAAUAACAAUAAGGCAAUAAGCAAAUUGCGAAGAAAAUGAGCGAAUUCCUAUCUGAAAAUAAUGCCUGUGGACAAAAUCUACUUAAUAUAGUAUCAGUAGGAAAUUCCAUUAUUGCUGAAAUCCUACGCCUGAAAAACUACGUGCCGAGCCUGUAUCGCUUGGAGACCACUGCCGACAGAAAGAAGUACGCUGAUAUAAUAUUAGAUUUUAGGUAUUUCAAAGUAGCUGAGGCACAAGAGUCAAAAAUAGAAAAUAAUGCAGAACUGAGCGACUUGGAUGAAGAAACACGCACCAAUCAUAUAACACUCAUCACUCGUUUUUACUUGGCAUUCCAAAGCAUACAUCACUAUGCCACCGAUUUGCAGCAGUACAUAGAGGAGCUAAACAGCGGCUACUAUAUACAACAGUCCCUGGAAACAGUCCUUCAGGAUGAAGAGGGCAAGCAAUUGCUGUGCGAGUCGCUCUAUCUAUUUGGUGUUAUACUGCUCAUUUUGGACUUUCAUAUACCUGGCGACGUGCGUGAGCGUCUUCUGGUGGCGUAUUAUCGUUACAGUGGUGGCGACAGCACGCCCGGAAGCGAUGAGAGCAAUAUCCACGAGGUUUGCUUGCUGCUUCGCUCCACAGGAUUUGUGCAGCCAGCCAGAGCACGUGCUAUGCAGGCUGCUGGCCAAGCUGCGCCUGCCACUGUGCAGAGAUAUCCUGAAGCAUAUUUUUCGCGCUUUCACUUUGAUAGCAAUUUUAUAGAUUUGGUUAUAGCACGUUUGCGUUGUGAUGAUAUCUACAAUCAAAUGGUCAUCUAUCCACAUCCUACCCAUCGAACUACAGCAUUUGCCUCGCAGGCGGUUUGUCUCUAUGUAUGUCUAUACUUUGCCCCCGAUUUGCUGCACAAUCAAAAUGCGCAAAUGCGGGAAAUUGUAGACAAAUUCUUCUGUGACAACUGGACGCUGUCUGUAUACAUGGGUAUCACUGUAAACUUGGUCGACGCUUGGGCGAACUUCAAAGCAGCAAGCAGCGCUAUAACAAAUGUAGUGUCACCAAGUGCCUUGCGUGUGCUUUGUCAACAACAGCGCGAAGGUCUGCAAAAAACGUUGCUCAAAACGAAGGAGAUUGUUCGGGAGGGAGUUCUGAGCGAAGGAUUCGUCCUGGAGCAUGCCAAUAACAUAAUUGUGCUCAUGCGGCAGGCUAAUGUGCUGCUGCGCUGGCAUUGCCUGCACACCAGUGCGGCUGUGCUUGUUAUAUCUGAACAGGCGGCGACUGCAGUACGCCAAUUGGUGCUAAAUGAACUGCAGUUUGAGCGAGACAAGAUUUACACGUUAAUGCUUAACUGUGGCCAAAUGGAGCUAAGCUUCAGGGAGUUGUUGGCUGAAGUGCAAAAGCAACGCACGCAUAACUGGAGUACAAGUCGCGAUGAGGCCAUGCAGUAUCUACGUGAGCUUAGUGAAGUAUUUGCCGGUAAACGGGCGCUUAGCAAAAUUGAUGUUAAUCCACAGUUGGAGCAGUGGUUUGGCCAGGUGGCGCAACGUUUGCAGAAGCUGGAUAUAACAAAGCCUCAGAAAUCGGGAAGACUUAUUAUACAAGUAAUGCAGGCGCUGGAUGAAGUACAAGAGUAUCAUAAUCUCUAUGCCAAUAUGCUGGUGAAGCAGCAAUUGCAGGAAACAAGGGAUUUAUUAAACCGCAUGGCACAGCUGCUCAAUCUAAAAGAAGAUAUGGAAAUUCAAAUUCAAAUGAUAAGCGACUUUAGCUAUGCCUGGCAGUUACUUCAGCGUGACUUUACGCCGAUUAUGCAGGAUCAUAUCAAGCGUCAGCCCAAUGCUGUGAUUGCCAUACGUGCUGUAUUUCUUAAGCUUGCCAGUACGCUGGAAUUGCCUUUGAUGCGCAUUAAUCAGGCGAAAAGUGAAGAUCUGGUGUCGGUGUCCAAUUAUUAUAGCACCGAGUUGGCCAACUUUUUGCGACGCGUCCUGCAAAUUGUGCCCGAGACCAUGUUCAAUAUACUUGCUCGUAUAAUACAGCUGCUGACCAAUGUUAUCAAGGAGUUUCCCACGCGUUUAGAGAAGGACAAGCUGCGCGACUAUGCUCAGUUUGAGGAGCGCGCCAAAGUGGCGCAACUGACCAAUGAUAUAGCUAUCUUUACGAAAGGUAUUCUCAUGAUGAAAACCACUUUGGUGGGCGUUAUUGAGCUUGAUCCCAAACAGCUGCUGGAGGAUGGAAUACGCAAGGAGCUGGUCAAUCAUUUGGCCAAUGCUUACAAUCUAGGCCUUAUUUUUACGCCUGAGAAGGGCAAGUCGAAUGUACAGCUGCUACAAAGCAAGCUGCAUGCGUUGGGCAAAACCAUAGAAGGAUAUCGCAGAUCUUUUGAGUAUAUAGAGGAUUAUUUGCGUGUGCAAGGCUUGAGCAUAUUGCUGGAGGAAUCACAGCGCAUCAUCAACUACAAUGUGGAAAAGGAGUGCAAUUGCUUUUUGCGCAACAAGGUGCAGGAGUGGCAGUCACGCUAUCAAUCUCUAACUAUACCCAUACCCAACUUUAUGCCGCUGCAAGGAGAUUCCAGCAAGUCGGACAACUUCAUAGGCCGCCUGGCACACAUGCUGCUGGUCUGUACCGAACCACGUCAUACUAUUUAUAUAGAUUUGAAGUGCAGCUGGUAUGACAAGCGGUCGCCACAUCAAGAGCAGCUUGCUGGCGGUAGUUUCUUUAGCAUGCUGCGCGAGGCAAUGGCACCAGCUGGUCUGGUGGGGCUGCAACAUCUCUAUGCGCACAUGCUAACGCAUGAGAUGAAGCAAAAUGUGGAAAGACUGCAGAAGAAUCUAACAACAGAUCGCAUGUGGUGCGAGGCUCUAAGUGCUAUGACGAAAGAAAUAGAAUCGCGUGACUUUCCAGGCGAAAUCGCCAAGCAGCCUCUGAAGUAUUAUCAAAACUAUACGCAGCGUUGGCUGAAAGUCUGGCCUACCCUACUAGACUUUGUGUUAUCCGUGGGACAAAAACAGCUGCUACGUCAACAAAUCGCCAGCGAACUAAGCUACAGCAGCAAAUGCGAUGCCAAGCUGCUGGAGAAUACCACAGAUACACUCAAUCGUGCUUUAAUGGUGGAGCUGAACAGCAACACUAAACUUUGCACAGAGCAGGGUGUAGGCAUGCUUACGGCUCUCAAUGAAAUGCUUUAUUAUACGGGCAACUUUGAGCCUCUGGACCAGAUCUUUAUAACCACUAAGAACACGCAUCAUAUGUCGUUAUUUCUAUUUCUGUUUAGCAUUACACAUGUCUCACGCUUGCAGCACUCCUCCAAUACAGACUGUUUACUUCCUAAAUCUCCCAAAGAUACCAUUGACGCAGUGCCUCUGAUCUUAGGUUUGCUGACCAUACUACAGCAGUUUCACAAAAAUGUCAAAAUGCUUUAUAUCUCGUACAUGUGUCAAUAUGUUGUGGUGGUCGCAGAGGCACAGCUGCUAGAUAAAGAAGUGAUUGGCACUGAGGUGGUUACUAUGAUACAUUUUCUGCAAACAUUCCUGCGCUUGGCCAACCUUCCGCUGAGUGUGCUGGAGCAGCGUAUACCUAAUAUUAUUUUGAGUGAAUAUGAUUAUCUGGCCACGCCAGUAAAGUUUAAUAUUAUAUUUCAUUGGACCACAAAAGUUGUGGUGGUAUGAUGGUGAAUGGGUUACGCGUCCGAAUGGCUCAACGUAUUGGCAAGAAACAAAAACUGAAUUAUUCGACUGGCGAAUUCUGUACUUAAUUUUAUUAUCAAUUGGAGCCUUUACUCUUUUGGGAGGGUUGUUGCAAAUGGUGGGACGUUUUUUUAAGAUAGCUACUCUCCUUAUAAUAGGUGUCAUUAUUGGUACCAUUGGUAUUUUUUUUUCGACAGGUUUAUUUUUAAUCCCCUUCGUGCUUCAAAUUGUCUUUUUAAUAUGGACGAUCAGAUACGUCGAUCAGGUCCUUGGGAAAGGAACGAAAUAAUGUAUUUUUAUAUGUUAAUACUUGAUUAACCAAUAUUUUCAAAACAUUGAACUUAAAAAUAAAAUUA